GAUUCUUCUUUAGCUUCAGAAUUUGGCUAAAAUCUUGAAGGAUGAAUUAGAUGUGUAUGAAUGUCUUCAGUCCUGUGAAUUUACCAACUCUGGGAUGUUGGAAAAUCAGAUGAGACAAUGGUUUAGACAGUGCUUUGAAAUGAAUUACUACAAAAAUAUCCGAGUCUGGGGAAGUCCACUUGUGUCUGGAGCAUCCUUCCAAGGCGACAGUUAACACAAGAUUUGGAAGUCAUUCUGAGUUCUAUGCUAUGUCAGCACCUGCAAUCAAACACAGUGAGGACAACACUUUGGGGAUUCUCAUCAAGAGAGGCUGGAAUCGUUUGGUUAUGUCUGCUGUGAGUUAUUGAUAUUCCUUGGCCCCAGCCAGUAGGGAAAUCUGUGCCAGAAAGCUCCGAUGCUUUUCUCUGGUCUCCUAAAUUUCCCAGGAUGAGCUUGAACUUGGGACCCUCUUGCCUCUUCCAUCCAGAAUGCUGGGAUCACAGAUGUGCACCUCUGCACCAGCUCUUCCAUUCUGAAUUACACACCUGAGACACUACAAAGAGUCCUUCCAUUUCCAACCUUACAAUGAGUACUUCAACAUUUUUUCUUUGCAAUAUGAAAAUGGUUCCUCAUCCCCUGACUCAACCAACCACAAAUGGAAACUAUUUGAGGGAAAAUAUGCAUCACUACUGAUUGAGGAUGUACAGAUUUUUUUCCCUUGACGGUACUUUUCUUUCACAACUGGCAGAGUCAAAAUGUUGACAGAUGAAAUGGGGACUCCAAAGGCCACCAGGAUUGGAUGGAAAAAAUGAGAGUGCUCUCAUUCAAAACAUAAAGGU
rnacentral:lncRNA from 1 species